rnacentral:rRNA from 1 species
UACGUAGGGUGCAAGCGUUGUCCGGAAUUAUUGGGCGUAAAGAGCUCGUAGGCGGUUUGUUGCGUCGGCUGUGAAAUCCCGAGGCUCAACCUCGGGUCUGCAGUCGAUACGAGCAAACUAGAGUGUUGCAGGGGAGACUGGAAUUCCUGGUGUAGCGGUGAAAUGCGCAGAUAUCAGGAGGAACACCGGUGGCGAAGGCGGGUCUCUGGGCAACAACUGACGCUGAGGAGCGACAGCGUGGGGAGCAAACAGG